rnacentral:rRNA from 1 species
UACGUAGGGGGCGAGCGUUACCCGGAUUUACUGGGCGUAAAGCGCGUGUAGGCGGCUGGUCAAGCGUGGUGUGAAAUCUCCGGGCUCAACCCGGAAACUGCAUUGCGAACUGACCUAGCUGGAGUGCAGGAGAGGGCAGCGGAAUUCCGGGUGGAGUGGUGAAAUGCGUAGAGAUCCGGAGGAACACCGAAGGCGAAGGCAGUGUCCUGGCGAGUAUCCUGACGCUGAGGUGCGAAAGCCAGGGGAGCGAACGGG